rnacentral:lncRNA from 1 species
CGCUAGGAACCAUCUUUAUCAUCGGCCACCUCUUGUGCUGUACGUGGUUUGGUUCUUACCUGAACUUGUGUUUUUUACAGGAGCAUAGGGCGGUUGUUAGGUGUGCGCUCGAAAUGAUGGCCCAGUAGAUGGAUGACUCGAUGUGGGUUAGAUGGUGAAGCUUCUCUUUAGGUCUAUCGCCCCUUUUGUCGUGCUGUGUUGUUUAUGAUGUGAUGUUCCGGUCUACCAGUCUCAAAAAACUUCAGUCUGCUGCUUGUGGGUGAACAUUCGCUGUCGGUAUUAGGAUCAGCGUUGGCCUUUGCUAUUGUGUGGUGUUUGCUUAGCUUCUGGUUGCUGGUGAAUGUAAAGAGAAGCUUGGCUAUCUUAUUUAGUAUGCCCGUUGUCCAUGCUAUGGUCUAUGUUGAUGUAUGCGGUCUUUGUGAAUUUGGGUUAUACCUGUUGCCCAUUGUGAAUUAAUCGUGCUAUUCGAACUGGUUCUGCUGCUGGAUAGAUUGCCUAAUCAAAUUUAACUGGCAGUUGUGGUGCCCCUCGAUGUUGUUUAUGGUUUGUAUUUGUGUUUUACAAGUCUUUACAAACUUCUACUCUGUUCUGAUGGUCCUUUCUUAAUAUAUUUAUUUUCCUGUUAUAGUUGUCUCUCCAAUGAGGGCAGGCCUGGCGCAGUGGUGAAGUCCUCCCCACUUGUGCCAAGAGGUCCUGGGUUCGAACCAGCCUCUCUGCAUUGCACUUUGCAGGGGUAAGACUAGGUUCCUAUAAUCCCUCCCCAGACCCCACCUUGUGUGGGAGAUUCUAUGCACUGGGUCUGUCCUUUAGUUGUCUCUCCAAUUUAAGUGAUUUGGGAUUUCGGUAUCUGCCUCUGAUUUGUAGAGUUAGAAAUUUGUGGUCCAUCACUGUUGGUGUAUGCGCCUCUUACAGAUUUUAGCAUAUAUCUAUUUUACUAGACCGUUUGUUCAAUAAUUUUCUCUCUACUUCUACUAUUUGUAAAUAUGUCGACUCUUGGGUGUAGAAUUUUAGUAUACAUAAGUUGCUAUUCUAUCUGACAUCUAUUUAUAGCUCCAGUUCAUUCAGACCUUGUUAGUCCCAUUUAGAUACAUGGUGGUAAUAUCAUGCUUUCAUCGCCCUUUUUAUCGUCCGAAUAGUAACUUGAGUUACUAAUAACUUAACAUUACACGCUUGAUCAAAACGUUCGGACA